ACAACGUGAGAGUCAGAAAGAUUGUACAGUACGAAAGAGAAGUGCACCAGCUACUCAUACACAAAGAGAGGGUCAGAAUGAUAGUACAGUACAAAAGAGAAGUUCACCAGAGGGUCAGAAAGAUUGUGCAGUACAAAAGAGAAGUGCACCUG